rnacentral:lncRNA from 1 species
AUUCUGUCUUGCUACUAUUUUUUACUAACAGAAAAGGAGUCUACACUGAAGACUGCUGAGCAGAAUCUCUUGCAAGAGGACCUACCAAAAAGCAAGAAGAGAAAGAGGGUACACAACAAACUUUUCCUGGACACACAAGAGGAAACUGUUGGACAAGCUGCAAAAAAGAAAAACUACAGACUCGUAGCAGCAAGACAGUCUGAAUUAGAGGUUCUUUCCCAAGAAGAACCUAAGCUCAGCCCAGUGGAGACUUCUUCAGAGGCACUUGAGGAGAAGAUCAGGGCCCUCAGGGAAGAGAAUAAAAGACUGCGAGACCAGCAGAGUGUAGCAUCUUCUGCAGCCAGUAAAGAUCUUGAGAUCCGAGUCAAGGCUUUACAGAAGGAGAACACCAGGCUGCGCUUCAUGGCAGUUAAAGAAAUUCCAUCACUCUUGGCAGCUGUGAGAGCCCUCAUUUCAGCUAAGGUCACAGAGAGCUAUGAAGCUGAAGGCGAAUAUGAGGUUUCUCUACCAUCUCCACCUCCUCAACCCACAUCACCCAAACCAACAACAGUGCAACUAGGGAAUGGUGACGCCGCCGCAGUGUCUGCCCAUUGUUGGGAGAUGGCAAAGGCACAAGCCACAGCAAAAGGAAUGGCCCGCACCCUUCUGCUGGGCCUGUUCAGCAUUGACGUCCUGCUCAAUUCCAACCUGACAGGAGGGAUCAACAAGGGCGAUCCCUCUGCGGAAAGACGCCAGCCUCUGGACCCAGAGAAGCUUAAAGCUUUACUCAGUAAGACAGUAAAAAAAAAAAAAGUUUAAUGGAUUAAUAUAUUUUGCUGAAGUUAAGGGUAACAAACACUUUAGGACUGAAAUGUACACACCUAAUAGCGAAACAGAUGGAUUAGAUAAAACGCGUAAACUGCUUUGAUAUUUGAUAUACAAGGAAAAUAUUACCAGUAUUGGGAUUCACCUCAUCUUUACUUUUGCAACAAUCAGAGGCUAACAUUGUGGAUGUCUUGCUCAAUUUCUUAUCUUUUACAGAUGCAGUUGUCCAACAACACCCAAGGGCGAAGAUUCCAGAAAUACGGACGGCAAUAAACAAAGGAUCUGUGAGUUAAGACACCAGGAGAAGAAAAAGUCCAAGGACAACUGAAGGACUGGCCAAUCAGAGCGGGUCUUGAUGUUGGCAGGGAUUGUUGUCCUGUUUUUUUCCACUGAGGGACUGUUGUGUUUUUGUUGCACUGAUUACUGUUUUAUUGUAAUGGACAGUUGUCCUAUUGGACAUGUUUUAUCAGUGUUUCUGUUAAUUUAUUGUUGUGUUGCCAUUGAAAAGUGCCUUUCAUUCUGUGUGUUUCUUUCAGCUGCUGCCUUAACAUUCAGUUAAUGUAAACUAAAGUGGUGUCUUAUUUGAUGUAUAUUUUAUAUUAAAAUAUGACAGACAUUGUACGU